rnacentral:rRNA from 1 species
UGAGGAAUAUUGGUCAAUGGGUGCAAGCCCGAACCAGCCAUCCCGCGUGAAGGACGACUGCCCUAUGGGUUGUAAACUUCUUUUGUAUAGGGAUAAACCUACCCUCGUGAGGGUAGCUGAAGGUACUAUACGAAUAAGCACCGGCUAACUCCGUGCCAGCAGCCGCGGUAAUACGGAGUGUGCAAGCGUUAUCCGGAUUUAUUGGGUUUAAAGGGUCCGUAGGCGGACUUAUAAGUCAGUGGUGAAAGCCUGUCGCUUAACGAUAGAACUGCCAUUGAUACUGUAAGUCUUGAGUAUAUUUGAGGUAGCUGGAAUAAGUAGUGUAGCGGUGAAAUGCAUAGAUAUUACUUAGAACACCAAUUGCGAAGGCAGGUUACCAAGAUAUAACUGACGCUGAGGGACGAAAGCGUGGGGAGCGAACAGGAUUAGAUACCCUGGUAGUCCACGCCGUAAACGAUGCUAACUCGUUUUUGGGGGCUUCGGCUUCAGAGACCAAGCGAAAGUGAUAAGUUAGCCACCUGGGGAGUACGCUCGCAAGAGUGAAACUUAAAGGAAUUGAC